rnacentral:hammerhead_ribozyme from 1 species
AUCCAGCUGACGAGUUCCAAAUAGGACGAAACACGCUUCCAU